rnacentral:rRNA from 1 species
GACGAACGCUGGCGGCGUGCUUAACACAUGCAAGUCGAACGGAAAGGCCCUGCUUUUGUUGGGCGCUCGAGUGGCGAACGGGUGAGUAACACGUGAGUAACCUGCCCUUGACUUUGGGAUAACUUCAGGAAACUGGGGCUAAUACCGGAUAUGAGCUCCUGCUGCAUGGUGGGGGUUGGAAAGUUUCGGCGGUUGUGGAUGGACUGGCGGCUUAUCAGCUUGUUGGGCGGGUAGGGGCUUACAAGGGCUUUGAAGGGUAGCCGGCCUGAGAGGGUGACCGGCCACCAUGGGCCUGCGAUACGCACCAGACUCGUACGGGAGGCAGCAGUCGGGAAUAUUGCACAACGGGCCGAAGCCUGAUGCAGAAACGCCGCGUGCGGGAUGCCGUCUUUCGGGUUGUAAACCGCUGUCGCAGGUGACGAAGCGUGAGUGACGGUAAUGGGUCAAGAAGCACCGGCUAACUACGUG